rnacentral:rRNA from 1 species
AUUGAACGCUGGCGGCGUGCUUAACACAUGCAAGUCGAUCGGUAACGCGGGGGCAACCCUGGCGACGAGAGGCGGACGGGUGAGGAACGCUUGGGAAUCUGCCUAUCAGCGGGGGACAACACGGGGAAACUCGUGCUAAUACCGCAUCCGCUCUACGGAGGAAAGCCGGGGACCGCAAGGCCUGGCACUGAUAGAUGAGCCUAAGCCGGAUUAGCUAGUGGGCGGGGUAACGGCCCACCAAGGCGACGAUCCGUAGCUGGUCUGAGAGGACGGUCAGCCACACUGGGACUGAGACACGGCCCAGACUCCUACGGGAGGCAGCAGUGGGGAAUAUUGGACAAUGGGGGAAACCCUGAUCCAGCGACGCCGCGUGGGUGAAGAAGGCCUGCGGGUUGUAAAGCCCUUUCGGUAGGGACGAAAGCUCUCGACCUAACACGUCGGGAGGUUGACUUAACCUACAAAAGAAGCACCGGCUAACUCUGUGCCAGCCGCCGCCGUAACAC